UGCCAGCCGCCGCGGUAAUACGUAGGGAGCAAACGUUGUCCGGAUUUAUUGGGCGUAAAGGGCUCGUAGGCGGUUCAACAAGUCGGUCGUGGAAGCCCGGGGCUCAACUCCGGGAUGCCGGUCGAAACUGUUGUGACUAGAGUUCGGUAGAGGUGAGUGGAAUUCUCAGUGUAGCGGUGGAAUGCGCAGAUAUUGAGAGGAACACCAUUAGCGAAGGCGGCUAACUGGCUCGGUACUGACGCUGAGAUGCGAAAGCGUGGGGAGCAAACAGGAUUAGAUA
rnacentral:rRNA from 1 species